AUAGUUUGAUCCUGGCUCAGAUUGAACGCUGGCGGCAUGCCUAACACAUGCAAGUCGAACGGAAACGAUGGGAGCUUGCUCCCAGGCGUCGAGUGGCGGACGGGUGAGUAAUACUUAGGAAUCUGCCCAUUAGUGGGGGACAACUCGAGGAAACUCGAGCUAAUACCGCAUACGCCCUACGGGGGAAAGCGGGGGAUCUUCGGACCUCGCGCUAAUGGAUGAGCCUAAGUCGGAUUAGCUAGUUGGUGAGGUAAAAGCUCACCAAGGCGACGAUCCGUAGCUGGUCUGAGAGGACGAUCAGCCACACUGGGACUGAGACACGGCCCAGACUCCUACGGGAGGCAGCAGUGGGGAAUAUUGGACAAUGGGCGCAAGCCUGAUCCAGCAAUGCCGCGUGUGUGAAGAAGGCCUGCGGGUUGUAAAGCACUUUCAGUAGAGAAGAAAAGCUUAGGGUUAAUAACCUUGAGUCUUGACGUAACCUACAGAAGAAGCUCCGGCUAACUCCGUGCCAGCAGCCGCGGUAAUACGGAGGGAGCGAGCGUUAAUCGGAAUUACUGGGCGUAAAGCGCGCGUAGGCGGCUUUGUAAGUCGGAUGUGAAAGCCCUGGGCUCAACCUGGGAAUGGCAUUCGAUACUGCAGAGCUAGAGUAUGGUAGAGGGAAGUGGAAUUUCCGGUGUAGCGGUGAAAUGCGUAAAUAUC
rnacentral:rRNA from 1 species